UAGAGUUUGAUCCUGGCUCAGAAUCAACGCUGGCGGCGUGCCUAACACAUGCAAGUCGAACGAGAAAGUGGAGCAAUCCAUGAGUAAAGUGGCGACCGGGUGAGUAACACGUGACUAACCUACCCUCGAGUGGGGGAUAACUCCGGGAAACCGGAGCUAAUACCGCAUAACAUCGCAAGAUCAAAGCAGCAAUGCGCUUGAGGAGGGGGUCGCGGCUGAUUAGCUAGUUGGUAGGGUAAUGGCCUACCAAGGCUGAGAUCGGUAUCCGGCCUGAGAGGGCGCACGGACACACUGGAACUGAAACACGGUCCAGACUCCUACGGGAGGCAGCAGUGGGGAAUUUUGCGCAAUGGGGGAAACCCUGACGCAGCAACGCCGCGUGGAGGAUGAAGUCCCUUGGGACGUAAACUCCUUUCGACCCGGACGAUAC
rnacentral:rRNA from 1 species